GAAGCCUCUGGCAGGUGAGAGUACCUCUUACUCAUCUCUAAAUUCCUUCCUGGGUCCAGCCCAGGAUCCUGGACAAAGGAAUUUUUCUGACUCAAGGACUCUGGCAGGCUGAGUUGAGCUCCUUCCCACAUUCCAGGCCAUUCCCACCCUAUCCAAGUGCAUCAAGACCUCCAGGGGGCCAGAGAUGCAGAACCUGAAGCCCAGAGCCGGGACAUUAUUUAUCUAAGGCUUUCGAGUCUAAUCUUUGAAAAGGAGAGAAUCCCAAGCCAGGGGCACAGUGUUGAUGACUGGCUGGAUGAGGACAGGAGGUGAAAGAGGGAGGUAAAACCAAUUGCUGUGUAUUUUUAAAAUAACUACUGUCCAAGAGUUUUUGGU